UACGUAGGGACCAAGCGUUGUUCGGAUUUACUGGGCGUAAAGGGCGCGUAGGCGGCAUAUUAAGUCAGCUGUGAAAUCUCCGAGCUUAACUCGGAACUGUCAGCUGAUACUGAUGUGCUAGAGUGCAGAAAGGGCAAUCAGAAUUCUUGGUGUAGCGGUGAAAUGCGUAGAUAUCAAGAGGAAUACCUGAGGCGAAGGCGGGUUGCUAGGCUGACACUGACGCUGAGGCGCGAAAGCUAGGGGAGCAAACGGG
rnacentral:rRNA from 1 species